rnacentral:lncRNA from 1 species
ACGUACGGUAACGUGGCAAAUACGCAGAAAUUGUAGUGUGGUGACGUAAAGGGAAACGGAAUUCCCGAGGGGAACGGAAUCGCCCAUAGACAUAGUAUACAUACAUACAUACAGUAUACUAUGUCUAUGGAAUCGCCUGCCUCCUCUCACCAUUUCAGCAGCGUUAUGCCAGCCUAAAUAAUCCUAGAUAAAACAUCUGGUUUUUGGCAAUGGCAGCCGAAAACCCUUAAAAACAUGUCAAAAUGAUAGUCCGGUCUAAACCUGUUACUACAAGACGCUCGUUACGAAGGGUUUACGUUUGGUGUUAGUCGAGUGGUACCUUUGGAGGAACUUUGCCGUGAUGGAGAAGAGAAAACGUUGACAUUGCUAGCUUUGCGGGAGACCAGGACUACCAUGCACGUAUCACCAGGUGCAUUGGAUGCAGCUCUAGCGAGGAAUUGGAAGCGCAAGUCAGAAGACUGA